rnacentral:sRNA from 1 species
CCCCAUACAUCUCAACCAGUUGGGUCCGAUGGGUUAUCUUCUUACCUUUUUUUUUUGCAGCAGAACUGGCUCGGAAUCGAGAGUGGGAGGAUUCAACAGAUGGUACAUACAAGAGAGGUAUCAGGAGGCCACAGCUAGUUUGCUCAGAAGCAGAGAGCUGAAAAGAGAAAGAGCCAGGGAGAAAAGAAAGGAAGGUUGAUACUUGUGUUAUUUCUACCAGGAAUCAAGCUCUAGCCCCGUGCUCUAACUUGUGAAGGUCACUGGGGUACAAAAUGUCUUGACGCGAUGCAUGAACUUUGCAACUCUCCGCUCAGUGACCCAGUAAAAUGAUGAACACUCCAUGAAAGCUCUAAAGAAAAUAUUCCUAAAUCUCCUACAAGCCUUCCUUUCAAACGCCCUGCACUGUGAACAAGUAAGUCCGCAAGAGUAUUAUUCAUUAAGCUGAUUCUAUCAACUUUAGUAUUUCUCCAGUUCAUCCCUGGUGAUGGUUCUCCUGUGAGUGUUCUUGAGAAGAACAGCAAAAUGAACAGGAGCAAGCCUUAAAGUCAGCACUGCUUGUAUGAGAUUUGGAGUGUGAAACAAGUCGACAUCCGCCUUGCGGGCCUAAUUCCGGGGGGCGAAAAAUCUCUUCUAUGGUCAUAACAACAAACUAUGUUCAACCUCUGUUACAAACAAAGCCUCGGGGA